rnacentral:snRNA from 1 species
GUGCUUGCUUCGGCAGCAUGUAUACUAAAAAUUGGAAUGAUACAGAGAAGAUUGGCAUGGCCCCGAGCAAGGAUGACAUGCACAUUCGUGUAGUGUUCCAUAUUUUU